rnacentral:rRNA from 1 species
CUACCUAGGGGUGGGGGAUAACCUGGGGAAACUCGGGCUAAUACCGCAUACGUUGGUUGGGCUACGGUCUGAUCAAGAAAGCUGGCCUCUGCUUGCAAGCUAGCGCUCCUGGAGGAGCCCGCGGCUGAUUAGCUAGUUGGUGAGGUAAUGGCUCACCAAGGCAUCGAUCAGUAGCCGGCCUGAGAGGGUGAUCGGCCACACUGGGACUGAGACACGGCCCAG